AGAGUUUGAUCCUGGCUCAGAACGAACGCUGGCGGCGUGCCUAACACAUGCAAGUCGAACGGAGUCAUUUUGAAGUAGCAAUACGGAUGGAUGACUUAGUGGCGCACGGGUGAGUAACACGUAGGUAACCUGCCCUUAAGAGUGGGACAACCCCGCGAAAGCGGGGCUAAUACCACAUAAGACUACGAAUUGAGAUAUUAGUGGUAAAAGGAGCAAUCCGCUUUAGGAUGGGCCUGCGGCCUAUCAGGUAGUUGGUGAGGUAACGGCUCACCAAGCCUAAGACGGGUAGCCGGUCUGAGAGGACGGACGGCCACACUGGAACUGAGACACGGUCCAGACUCCUACGGGAGGCAGCAGUGGGGAAUUUUGCACAAUGGGCGAAAGCCUGAUGCAGCGACGCCGCGUGGAGGAUGAAGGCCUUCGGGUUGUAAACUCCUUUUGUAGGGGAAGAUAAUGACGGUACCCUGCGAAUAAGCCACGGCUAACUCUGUGCCAGCAGCCGCGGUAAGACAGAGGUGGCAAGCGUUGUUCGGAAUUACUGGGCUUAAAGGGCGCGUAGGCGGUAAGAUAAGUCUGUGGUGAAAUCCUAUGGCUUAACCAUAGAAUUGCCUUGGAAACUGUUUUACUUGAGUCAGCGAGGGGAUGGUGGAAUUCCUGGUGUAGCAGUGAAAUGCGUAGAUAUCCGGAGGAAGGCCGGUGGCGAAGGCGGCCAUCUGGCGCUGAACUGACGCUGAGGCGCGAAAGCGUGGGUAGCAAACAGGAUUAGAUACCCUGGUAGUCCACGCCCUAAACGGUGGGCAUUAGGUGUAGGGCUCGUAAGGGUUCUGUGCCGUAGGGAAACCAUUAAAUGCCCCGCCUGGGGAGUACGGCCGCAAGGUUGAAACUCAAAGGAAUUGACGGG
rnacentral:rRNA from 1 species